ACGCUCUUAGUUCAGUUCGGUAGAACGCGGGUCUCCAAAACCCGAUGUCGUAGGUUCAAAUCCUAUAGAGCGUG
rfam:Cucumis sativus cultivar 9930 chromosome 6, whole genome shotgun sequence.